rnacentral:rRNA from 1 species
GAUGAACGCUAGCGGGAGGCCUAACACAUGCAAGCCGAGCGGUAUUUGUUCUUCGGAACAGAGAGAGCGGCGCACGGGUGCGGAACACGUGUGCAACCUGCCUUUAUCUGGGGGAUAGCCUUUCGAAAGGAAGAUUAAUACCCCAUAAUAUAUUGAGAGGCAUCAUUUGAUAUUGAAAACUCCGGUGGAUAGAGAUGGGCACGCGCAAGAUUAGAUAGUUGGUGAGGUAACGGCUCACCAAGUCAAUGAUCUUUAGGGGGCCUGAGAGGGUGAUCCCCCACACUGGUACUGAGACACGGACCAGACUCCUACGGGAGGCAGCAGUGAGGAAUAUUGGACAAUGGGUUAGCGCCUGAUCCAGCCAUCCCGCGUGAAGGACGACGGCCCUAUGGGUUGUAAACUUCUUUUGUAUAGGGAUAAACCUACUCUCGUGAGAGUAGCUGAAGGUACUAUACGAAUAAGCACCGGCUAACUCCGUG